GCCACUGCUGAAUGGCUGGGUGGAGUGGAGUGGUGUGGAGUGGAGUGGGGGGGAGAUCAUUUACCUGGGUGCCACGAGUGCAUGGUCAGGGUGCACAUUUCCAUCUGGCAUCGCCCCACUGUACCGGCGAACUUGGGGGGGCUCCACCAUCUACCAUCUACCAUAUUGUUGUUGGCAGCAGCAACGCAACGGACACUGAGAGCUUGAGAGGCCAAGGUUGUUUCAGUUUGCUGAAUAAUAUUAUUAUUCUGCUCUCCUCCGUUUCCAUCGUUCGCGCUAUUCACGGCGAAAAAUUGAGAGGUGGCGAGACACAGGUAGCAACGGGAGAGGAGACAGAGCGAAGAGACGGGAGGAAUGAAAAUAAAGAGAAAAAGAUAUUCCAAAAACGCGGUUGUAUUUUGAUAUAUUUUGUGAACCUGCCCAAGUUCGCGGCAUUUUGUAUCUUUGUAUCUGUAUCUCUAUUUGUGUUCGCGCAUGGGUACAGGGCAUUGGGGUAUGGUUAUCCCCC
rnacentral:lncRNA from 1 species